rnacentral:rRNA from 1 species
CACGUAGGGCGCAAGCGUUGUCCGGAAUUAUUGGGCGUAAAGAGCUCGUAGGCGGUCUGUUGCGUCUGCCGUGAAAGUCCGGGGCUCAACUCCGGAUCUGCGGUGGGUACGGGCAGACUAGAGUGAUGUAGGGGAGACUGGAAUUCCUGGUGUAGCGGUGAAAUGCGCAGAUAUCAGGAGGAACACCGAUGGCGAAGGCAGGUCUCUGGGCAUUAACUGACGCUGAGGAGCGAAAGCAUGGGGAGCGAACAGG